GAAUGCUAAUACCGCAUACGUCCUACGGGAGGAAGCAGGGGAUCUUCGGACCUUGCGCUAAUAGAUGAGCCUAAGUCGGAUUAGCUAGUUGGUGGGGUAAAGGCCUACCAAGGCGACGAUCUGUAGCAGGUCUGAGAGGAUGAUCCGCCACACUGGGACUGAGACACGGCCCAGACUCCUACGGGAGGCAGCAGUGGGGAAUAUUGGGCAAUGGGGGGAACCCUGAUCCAGCCAUGCCGCGUGUGUGAAGAAGGCCUUAUGGUUGUAAAGCACUUUAAGCGAGGAGGAGGCUACUGAGACUAAUACUCUUGGAUAGUGGACGUUACUCGCAGAAUAAGCACCGGCUAACUCUGUGCCAGCAGCCGCGGUAAUACAGAGGGUGCGAGCGUUAAUCGGAUUUACUGGGCGUAAAGCGUGCGUAGGCGGCUUUUUAAGUCGGAUGUGAAAUCCCCGAGCUUAACUUGGGAAUUGCAUUCGAUACUGGGAAGCUAGAGUAUGGGAGAGGAUGGUAGAAUUCCAGGUGUAGCGGUGAAAUGCGUAGAGAUCUGGAG
rnacentral:rRNA from 1 species